GGCGUGGCGGGCGGCGAAGCCGGAGAGCCAGGAGCGGACGGCGAGACCCCGUCCCGGGCCAGUGGCCCCGAGGACCACCUUCUGGCAGAUUCUUGGAAGGAUCGUUGGAAGUAUUUCUCCUCUCACCAAUGAUGCUGCUGAAAGGAAAGAGAACCCUAACACACCCUACAACAAAUAGUUCACUUUCAGGAAGGUCAACAGUCAACGUUUUGAUUCAUUUGUUUGGCUAAAGUCUCAUUCCAGUGGUGGUCUAAGGAACUUGGUUUAAGACAAUCUCCUGAACAAUGGUGCACCAACAAGAUAAACUAUGCUUUCAAAA